UGGGUAGGCGGGCUGGUAUGUCCGGCGUUUAAUUUGUCCGCUUAACGGGCAAUAUGCGUUGGAAACUGCCAGUCUUGAGUCGCGUAGAGGAAGGUGGAAUUCCUGGUGUAGCGGUGAAAUGUGUAGAUAUCAGGAAGAACACCGGUAGCGAAGGCGGCCUUCUGGGCGCUGACUGACGCUAAUCCACGAAAGUGUGGGGAGCAAACAGGAUUAGAUACCCUGGUAGUCCACACCGUAAACGAUGAACACUAGGUGUUGGAAGGAUAAAACCUUUCAGUGCCGAAGCUAACGCAUUAAGUGUUCCGCCUGGGGAGUACGAUCGCAAGGUUGAA
rnacentral:rRNA from 1 species